GGGAUGACGUCAAGUCCUCAUGGCCCUUAUGUCCAGGGCUACACACGUGCUACAAUGGCCGGUACAAAGAGCAGCGAGCUCGCGAGAGUAAGCAAAUCUCAAAAAGCCGUCCUCAGUUCGGAUUGGAGUCUGCAACUCGACUCCAUGAAGUUGGAAUCGCUAGUAAUCGCGGAUCAGCAUGCCGCGGUGAAUACGUUCCCGGGCCUU
rnacentral:rRNA from 1 species